GCCUGGGAGCCUAAGUAUAAACUAGAUCGGCCCCUCUUUCCCAUCGUGGACCAAUGGACCGCUCGGGUUACCGUGUAUCUUCUGUAGAGUGAUCCAGACGCAAUGGAGUGAUCAGGUAUUUGGGAGCCUGUUGCCUACCAGCUGGAGGGAUGACCUUGGAGGACUUCAGCUGACUACUCGGUCUUUGAGGAUUUUCCCUCUCCCUGGGCGUUACGUGGUCACUGUGAUCUCAACAUCUGCCUCAGUGAAAGUCACGUUUUGCCAGGACAGUGCAGUCCUGACAGAGAGGCCGGCUGCAGCACACCUACAGCGAGGCCUCAGUGACCGGGCGCCCUGUGCGGUACUGCUCAUCAACGUGACCUUUACUCCACGCCCACACCUUUCACCCCGGAUGACGGUGCCCCGGGUGUUGGGGGUGGGGGAGAUGGAAGGAGGAGCAGAUAGGGGUGAGAUAGAGACCUCAACGUGAGCCCUGCGCGAGGCUGGAUGCCAGAGUGGGAGUCCCUGCUCCACCUUAAUUCUGCACUGUGCCCGCAAGCUUGAAAACAACUUAGAUAGCGCAUUGUGAGAUAACGUGCGUUCUCGGCCCUCCCAAUAAACUCAUUUCCCUUAAAAAAAAAAAGAAAACAAAAGUUCUAGUGUCUGAUGGACGUGUAAAAACCUAAUAAGGUGAUGGUUGUGCGAAGGUGGCGGGCUGGGGGGGGGCCAGGCUGGAGAGGCUUUAGAACAUGUGCCGG
ensembl:lncRNA